rnacentral:rRNA from 1 species
UACGUAGGGACCGAGCGUUGUCCGGAUUCAUUGGGCGUAAAGAGCUCGUAGGCGGCCACUCAAGUCGAAUGUGAAACCUCGAGGCUCAACCUCGAGCCUGCAUUCGAUACUGGGCGGCUAGAGUCUGGUAGGGGGAUCUGGAAUUCCUGGUGUAGCGGUGAAAUGCGCAGAUAUCAGGAGGAACACCGGUGGCGAAGGCGGGUCUCUGGGCCGAUACUGACGCUGAGGAGCGAAAGCGUGGGGAGCGAACAGG